rnacentral:rRNA from 1 species
UACGGAGGGUGCGAGCGUUGUCCGGAAUCACUGGGCGUAAAGGGCGCGUAGGUGGCGCGGGCAGUCAACGGUGAAAGUUCGGGGCUCAACCCUGAAUCGGCCGUCGAUACUCCCGUGCUUGAGCACUGUAGAGGCAGAUGGAAUUCCGGGUGUAGCGGUGGAAUGCGUAGAGAUCCGGAAGAACACCAGUGGCGAAGGCGGUUGCCUGGAGCUUUGCUGACGCUGAUGCGCGAAAGCGUGGGGAGCGAACAGG